CAGGCAUGAUUUGUAUCCUCAGGACCCUGGGCUCUGUUGGUGGGAGGGAAAGUACAUUUACACACAAUCAGUUAUCUGAUUCUUUAGCAGUAGUUCUUUACUGAGUACCGCCUGUCAUGCAGGCACCAAGCAGGUGUCCUGCACCCUGAGUCAGGCGAGGUCAGUAGGGGAAUAGAGGGCAAUCAGAGAGCUGAGUUGCAGACAGCAGCCUGAGCAGGCAGAAUGGCCCAGCAGGGAUGAUCUUAAAUCAGGAGCUGGAGGGCAGGGAGCUGGGAGAGGGAGACUAUGGGACAGGUCACUCCCACCUCCUUCCCCCACAACAGGCCCUUCCCUCUAGCUUUGCUCCUUCCUCCCUGCACUGCCCCCAUCCUCCUUAGUUAUUUAUGUAGGAUCUCUGACUGCUGGGCAUAUUUUAUUAACUGUUUCAGUUAUAAUGUAGUUUUUAACCUUUUACUUAAAAAAAAGCCUUUCUAUUUUGUUCUGCAGUUGCUUUUUGCUGAUUGAAAUGUGUUAUGUUCAUAUGAACAUGGUUGAUGACAGGUGUUUUUUUCCUUUCUAGUUAUGAAAAACCUCCUCCUGGGCUUAUCAAGGAAGAUGAGACUAAGCCAGAAGACUGUAUACCAGAUGUCCCAGGCAAUGAACAUGCCAGGGAAUUUCUGGCCCACGCACCAACCAAAGGACUUUGGAUGCCACUGGGGAAAGAAGUCAAAGUCAUGCAAUGUUGGCGUUGUAAACGAUAUGGUCACCGAACAGGUGACAAAGAAUGCCCUUUCUUUAUCAAAGGCAACCAAAAGUUGGAACAGUUUCGAGUAGCACAUGAAGAUCCCAUGUAUGACAUCAUACGAGAGAAUAAAAGACAUGAGAAGGAUAUAAGGAUACAACAGUUAAGACAGUUACUAGAGGAUUCAACCUCAGAUGAAGAUGAGAGCAGCUCCAGUUCCUCAGAAUGUAAAGAGAAACACAAGAAAAAGAAGAAAGAAAAACAUAAGAAAAAGAAGAAAGAAAAGAAAAAGAAGAAAAAACGGAAGCAUAAGUCUUCCAAGUCAAGUGAGAGUUCAGACUGAGAAUGACAAGAACUUGACUUGUUCAGCAUUCUCUUCUCAAAAAACUAACACCGUGGCCAAAGAUCAGAGGAAUGUGGGAUCGGAGAGGAAUAGGAGAGAGAGUCACCAAGACAGGAGGAGAUUUGGUGUCACAGCUUUGUGCCUCAGGAGAAGCAGCUCAGCCCAUCAGAGUGGUGCCUGCAGCUAAGGGAGAGUAAGUCCUAUGGUUUGCUGAGCCAAAUGGAGCUAGAUCUUGCUCACAGGUUUUUUCAGAAAGCAACAUCCAAGAAAAAAAACAAAUUUUCUUCAACGUAUAAUAUGUAAAGUGGUUUAACAAAUGGUUAUAUUCCUAUCAUGGAAAACCACUCAGCAAUAGAAAAAAAUGAAGUAUUGAUGCACAGAAAAAAAUUAGAUGAAUCUCAAAGACAUUGUGCUAAAAAGAUCAAUGGUUUCCAAUAGUAAGUUUGGAGUGAGAGUAUGACUCUAACACAGUCAUACAAGGGAACUUCUUGGUGUGAAGGAUGGUGCUCCUGGAUCCUGUUCUGUAUCCUGAUCCUGAUUUCACCUGACAAAAUUCCUUAGAACUGUAUGUCUAGAAUCAAAAAAGUACUUGUGAAAACUGAUGAAAUCCAAGUAUGAUAUAUAGUGGACUUUCUAUAUUGUAUCAGUGUCAACUUAUUUGUUUUGUAAUCAUGCUGUGGUUAUAAGAUACAGUCAGUUGUAAGAUGGGACCAUUGGGGGAAGCUUUGUGAAAGCUACAUGGGAAUUUUCUGUACUAUUUUUGCACCUUUCAUGGAAGUUUAAAAUUAUUUCCAAAUGAAAAUUAAAAAAAAAAACAAAAAUACUGGAAUGAAGAGAGAAAGAAAUACAAGAAGGAGGGAGGGAAGGAAGGAAGGAAAAUGAAGAGAUACCUCCAACCAAGAUCUUAAACCCACAUCCAACAAAUGGCCCUUUGUCAUAGGACACUACUUAACUACUUUAAACUAAGUCUAUGCCAGUUAUCCUAUCAGAGCAAAGUGUAAGGUCACGCAUAGCAAAAUUUAUAAAUUUACAUCAAGUUCCUGCAUGUUUUUCCCAUGGUUCCUGCUAUCCCACGUGGCAUCGUGUAUCAUUAUGGACGAUAAUUUACUGAAAAACAAAGAUUAACAUACUUUAAGAGUUAAAGACAACAACAGACAAACCAAUUAUAUCGGCUGAUAGUCUGUAGCCACCAUGUGUUUUCCAGUUUUGCCAAAGCCUUCAAAUGCAGAAACCACAAAAUUUUAUUUGUGAAAAGAUUUCAUACCAUUAAUUGCCUUUUCUAAAAAGUUGGCAGAUUUAAAAAUGACAACUUAGACCUCCCUUUUGGCUUCAAGAUGGACCUGAUAGUACAUUGGAACAACCUCAUGUAAAGUUUCUGACUACCCUUGUUUGUCUUUAGCAGGAUUAAUAAAUACUCUGUUCAAACAAA